rnacentral:rRNA from 1 species
CGAUAGUAAGAAUUUAGCAGAGAUGCCUUAGUGCCUUCGGGAACUCUGAGACAGGUGCUGCAUGGCUGUCGUCAGCUCGUGUUGUGAAAUGUUGGGUUAAGUCCCGCAACGAGCGCAACCCUUAUCCUUUGUUGCCAGCACGUAAUGGUGGGAACUCAAAGGAGACUGCCGGUGAUAAACCGGAGGAAGGUGGGGAUGACGUCAAGUCAUCAUGGCCCUUACGAGUAGGGCUACACACGUGCUACAAUGGCAUAUACAAAGAGAAGCGAACUCGCGAGAGCAAGCGGACCUCAUAAAGUAUGUCGUAGUCCGGAUUGGAGUCUGCAACUCGACUCCAUGAAGUCGGAAUCGCUAGUAAUCGUAGAUCAGAAUGCUACGGUGAAUACGUUCCCGGGUCUUGUACACACCGA